GUUGCUUCGGCUAGAUAGCCGUAGUUGCUUGGAUUCAGCAGAAAAUAUAUAGAGCUUAGCUAGGGUUAGCAAAUUUAAACACAUGAUUUGUAUAAAAAUUCACAGACAUACGUAAGCAGAAUGGAAGUAUAGAUCCAGGACUCAACUUGUGAAUAAACUCACCCUUUGAUUUCCUGUCGCCGCAGCACUCAAAAUUUAAAGUGCUUCGGCAGACAAGCAUUUGGCUGGAAGGAGAACUUACUAGUACUGAGCAUAUCUGAAGAAAAUUGUCAAUUGAAAUGUGAAAGAAAGUUAAGGGAUUACUUCACAAAUUACAAGACAAGUGAGGAGGAAGAGAAGUUUUCAUAUCUGAAGGAGAUUAUUAAUUUAUGAGGCUUCUGGACUUCUGGUCACAGGAGGUCAAAUAUAACUAAAUUUGUAAUUUAGGGAGGUGAGUCUGUACAAGUAUUCGCUGGUAACCUACUGGUGUAGGUAAAGAGGAAUAAUUGACUAGAUCGAUCAGGGACUAAGAAGAGAUUUCAGUUGGGUAAGAAGAUUGUUGAUCAGAGAGGCUUGAUGGUCAGAGGAGGUUACAGUCAUUAUAUUUAUGGAUUAUUGAAUGUGACUACAUGUGCUAGUAACAAUAUGAUAGAGAGUUGAAAAGAAUUCAUGAAGCAUAUAUCAGUAAUAUAUAACAUUUAAAAUGAAAGAGUUCAUAUGGUUGACGUAUAUCUUUUUUCCCCUCAAGCUGAUGUCACUAAACAAGGUCCGAUUCUUUGUAGCUUAAUUAGAAACCAUUAAGAUUUAAGACGGUUGAUUAAUUGACAAGUAGUUGAAAUUGGGCGGUUCAAACAGGUUCAGCUGGUCCUUUUGCCUUGAUGUUCUUUGGCACAUACCAAACAACAAGAAAACCGAAGUACUAAAUGUGACUAAAUAUUUUGUAAGAGCGUACUGUUUACUUUGCUUGCCUCGGUAUAUGGCAUACUUCUAGCUGGCAUAUCUGUUCAUUUUCAUAAGUUUUAAGCGUGCCUCAAGUUUGCAAUAUAAUAGAUACGCUUUUAAGUUGGUUCUUCCCCUAAUUCUAGUGGAAAUUGAAAUUCAUUCAUAUAUCUUUACAAAUUUGGGAUUGAACUUCCUUAAAAAAGGAUUGAACGUUAAAUAUUUUUAACUUCGGGGCAUGCUUACUUUAUAUUUAUAUUAAAAGCUGUAUUUUAAUUGAUUUAUACCGAGUUCAGUUGCUUACUUUGUAAAAGCGUGAUGACUCUCCCUGUCACAACACCUUGUGCACACAACUUUUGCAAGUCUUGUGUAGAAGAAAUAUUUGCUGGGCAGACUUUCACCAAGGAGAGGAAUAGGGGCGGGCGCACUCUGCGAUCACAGAAGAAUGUUAUGAAGUGCCCUGCAUGCCUUAUGACAUAUCUAACUUUCUUCAGAAUCCACAGGUUUGCUUAUAUUUGUACAAACUGAUAGAAGUUGGGAACUAGAUCUUGUGUUUGGGAACAGCUAUUAACAGAUUUAGUGUAUCAUAAUACUGAUUUUGGAAUAUAACUGUUACAUAAUUUUAUUGUUAUACUUCUAGACCCUGUAUAAUUUAUUGAUCCACACAUUGACAGCUUUAUUUUGUUGAAAUACAGGUGAACAGAGAAGUGAUGGAUAUCAUUGAGAAACUAAAACAGAGACCUGAGGAUGAGAAUACUGUGGACGAGUCUAUAGUGAAGGUAUCGGAUACUUCUGAAAAUGGUGGCCUGGUGGCUUUGUCAACAGAUGAGGAUACAGACUCAUCAAAUACUGAAACUAAGCCACUGAGCUAAAUACUGAUGUGGUGGCUGGCGGGAGCGCCGGUGUAACCUGCAGAUGAACAAAUUAAACUUAAAGUAUUUUCUUUCAUAAGAAGCCAUAAACUUAAAAUUCACUUUACAUAUCUACAUUUCUACACAGGGCACCUUUGCAUAAGCCAAUCUUUAUAUCCAGUAUGUUGGUUGUACGGACUUUGUAUUUUUAUAAACUUAACUGUGCUUUGCUCUGUACAUAAUUACAUUAAACGGGGCGUGUAAAUUUGCAAUCUAAUAAUUCAGUAGAAUUAAGUAAUGUGACUGAUUUCUAGAAUAUUAUACACAUCUUCCUUUUGAUAUUUGUGACAUGAUUCAUUUUACUCCGAAGCAUGCUUGAAUACAAAUACAUAUUACUUCAUCGGUCCCGUUUUCUCAUUUUCUUUUCUUUUGCCCCAAAAUAAUUGCAUCAUCUAACUAAUAUGAUAUAUAAUGUAUUAAGAAAUGAUUGUUAAGUAAGAGCUUGUUUUCAAGUUACUUCUAUGCCAUUUCUAAUUUAUCAUGUUAUUAGCUAUAGGGCAUAAUAUACAGUCUUGAAAUAAUUAUAAUGGUCCUAAUUGGCAAUUGACAUUUACGGCUAGUUAUUACCGGUUUGAAUUAGCUAUUUGACUACUUGAUUGAAGUAACUUACCGGUUUGAAUUAGCUAUUUGACUACUUGAUUGAAGUAACUUACCGGUUUGAAUUAGCUAUUUGACUACUUGAUUGAAGUAACUUACCGGUUUGAAUUAGCUAUUUGACUACUUGAUUGAAGUAACUUAAUAAAAUAGUUAUUUUGACUAGCGGAUUGAAUUAGCUGUUUUGUGUUUGGUAAAUCAUUGUUUGGUUAAUUUUUUAUAUUUUAAAUAGACAUAUAGCUCUAAUUAAUUUUUUCAAACUUAGCCUUUUGAGUUCAAAACACUAGUUAGUUCGCUAACUACUAAAUACUAAUAUUAAAUAUGAUUCAAAGGUCUAAUUUCUUUUUAUCAAACCUUUAACUUUUAAAUAUGACCAAUAUAUGAUGACCAUGUUUAGAGAAAAUAUAAUAACUAUAAAAAAAUUAUAUAACUUUAUAAUUAUUAGUGGAUAGUCGGACGUGGUUACAUAGUUUCACUAAUAACAAACCUCCUUUUCUAUUAAUUAACUAAAAAUAUAUAUUUUUAUACAUCAUACAUUAAUUAUAUAUGGAAAAUCUAAUAGAAUUUAUAGCAACUAUAUUUAUUUAAGUAAAAGAAAAUUUUAGAAUAAUAAUAUAUAUCGUGACUAAUUUUGAAUAAUUAUGUAUCAAUCUUAUUAUAUAUUUUCAGUAUAUGAUAGUUUUUUUGUGAAUAAAAUUAAAAAAUAAUUUUGUCAUUUCUUCCUUAUGUGAUUAUAAAUAUCUUAAUAUGUGGUUUUUUUUAAUCUUAUUUCUCGUCGGCCCCGUUUUCAUCUUCUUUCAUUCCUCUCCCUUUUCUCUGGAAUACUCCGCCCUUCCUCUCUUCAUCUUUACCAAAUUACCUUCAAUAUAUCAAAUAUAGGCUCAAUACCACUGUCACUAACAAAAAAAAUGAUCUAAAAAUGAUAAGCUGUGUUGUUCAUAAUUAUUAUCCGAUCUACGGUGUUGUGAUUCAUUUACUCAUUGAUCUUUCGUGCUAUCGGAGUAAAGGGCGUGGUACACAUGAUAUCUUGGUUGAUUUGGUAAGUCGAUCUGGUAAGUCGUUUUUUGAAUAAAUUUGUUACAUCGAUUGUAUGAAUCGAAUGAUAAAAGUUUUCAUUUGAAUGAAUUUUAAACAAAAAUUUUGAAUUUAUCUUUUUUGAAACUCAAAAAUUAAUAGUUUAAUAUUUUUGUGAGUAUCGAAUCAAAAGUUCAAUUCGAUCAUAUACGUAAUUAUAUCCUGUUUUGGUUAGUAUGUGUUAUGAAUUUUUCGAUUCAAAUCAAUAAAGUUAAAUCGGGUUCAGAUUCAAUUUUACUUUUUUUUAAUUUAUAUCAAGAUUUGAUUCCGAUUUUAUCUCGAUUAAAUUAAUAAAUUCAUGUUAUGCAAAACUUUCCAAUAAUUUUACAUGAGUUUUUGUCAUAUGUCUAUGACAAUUCUUGAGAUCUUCAACUUAAUAUAUAUCAAAAUUUGUUUCAAUUUUUAUUAUCAUGUUUCUUUCUCUAUUUAUUAGUUUCAAAAUUGUAUAUGCAGUAAACAAUGAAGAGAGUGCUUCAGAAAAGAUUGAAUUGUCAUCCAAAUUCACCUGUGGAGGAUGUGAUGAUGAUGACAAAGUCUUCAAAUUUCACUGACCUUAAUGGACAACCUUCUUGAGGAUCAAGUAGCCGUUGCUCUGAGAAGGUUAAGUUCAGGAGAACCAUUACUAACUGUUGCUUAUUCCUUCUAAAUACACAAAGCAACUGUUGGUAACAUAACUUGGAGUUUCGUGGAAGUUAUAGAACAAAAUGGAAUCCACUAUAUCCAGUGGCCUUCAACCGAAACUAAGAUGGUAAUCCGUCAUAUCCAAUGAAUGGACUUCAAUUUGAGCAUUUCUUUACACAUUUUUAGAAUUGUUAUAUGAUUAAUUUUGUGAUGAACACGUUUUAGGAAGUUCGGUUUUAUGUCUGCAGAGUGCGUUUUCAGUUCCUUGGGUUUAUGAUAUAUGCUUGCAUAUUUAGAAUUAGGAGAUCAUGUCUGGUCAUUGUUUCGAUUUUAAUACAAAUUUCUAAUUGUUCCGAGUUACUUGUUUAGAAUUCGUGAUUGAUUUGGUAGGAUCGCUUUUCUUAAUUACUUGCUAAUAGAAGUUUGUAGUUGUAAUUUAUGAGUUAUUUAGACAUUGGAGUAUAAUUCCAGCAAUUUUGAAGUUAUGUUCAUGAUAAAUGGGAUUUAAAUCUUUUAUGCUUUGGGAGGGAUAUACCAUUUUGUUUACAGAAAAAAUGUCAAGUUCAUGUAUGAAGCUUGUUUAUUCAGUAUUAGCCUACACUUAAUAAGGGAACAAGUGCGGUUGGGUAGUGUUUCUUUUUUCUCCUGGAUGUUUCUUUCAUUAUUUUGCACAGUUAGUCAUAUACCUUCAUCAACAGUUGCAUUUUUCUUCAUUGUUUAGCUCACUUGUUUCUCCAUAUCAUCAUUGGUGCUCUACUUACAAAAGAAUGUAGCUCUGACCAUGAUUAUAUUUGUAGACACACUGAUGAAUUUUCUUGGUGAAAAGGUCAUGUAGUUGUUCGACUGAUAGAUACAAUUGCAUCUUUUUUUAUGAUUAAAGUAUUUUAAUAAACAUAAAUUUUGGGCAAACAAAAAAUAAAGUUUUCAUAUGUUAUGUAGAUGUUUCGUCGUUGCUUAGGAUUUCUGGCAUAUGAAAUCAACAGCAAAAUUCUUUUGCAUCUUCGUGUGCACAUUGGCUCUUGGCAUUUAGUCCUGUGAAUAGUUAAUUGUUGUGAAUAUUCUUGAAAGUCUUCAUGUAACUUGGAUAAUAUGGACACCUUAAAAUAUAACUUUUUAAUGGUGAUAAUUUAUAUGUUCCAGACACCUUGCGGUCAUAGUUUUUGUUUGAAGUGUUUCCAGAGAUGGGUUGUGCAAGGGAAUUAUACUUGUGCAAAGUGUAACUGCAGCAUACCUCCUAAGAUGGCAAGUCAACCACGCAUCAAGUCUUCACUUGUAUCCGUCAUCCGAAUGGCCAAGAUGUCCAUAUCAAGAUCUAUGCAUGGACCACCGAAAUAUCAUCAGUACGUGCAUAACCAAGACCGGCCUGAUAAAGCAUAUACAACAGAGUGGGCAAAAAAGAGCGGAAUGGCUAAUGCUGCCAAUGGAUGGAUACAUGUCACUACUCCACCUGACUAUUUUGGACCUAUUCUUCCAGAGAGGAAAAUGGGUGUUUUGGUUGGAGAGUGAUGGGAUCUUCGCAUGAAGGGUAGGGAAUGGGGCAUUCAUUAUCCACAUGUAUAAGGAAUUGCCAGUCAAUCCAAAUUAUGGUGCACAGUCCGUUGUUAUUUCUGGGGGUUACGAGGAUGAUGAGGAUCAUGGAGAAUGGUUCUUACACUGGAAGAUUUGUUAGAAUAUAAGAACACAUGUUGUCAAUUGUAUCUAUAAAUCCAACAUUGUACCACUUAUAAUUAUUAAUUUGUGAAACUGUAUAUGGCUACUAAAUAUGCUUCUUUCAUAUUCUUGGGUAGUUGUAAUAUUAUGAGCAUAAUAUCCUACUAUUUCUCGAAAGGUUUUACACUUUAUAGAAAUAUAAACAAAGCACUUUGAAAUACAUGAUUGUUUCUUUCAAUUUAUUGUACAAUAAAAUUGAUAGCUUAAAUUUCGAUAGAUGCUAUCUUUAAAAAAAAUUAUUUAUUGCCAGAUGAUGUUUCAUUUUGUACUUUCUUAUGUUCUCUUAUUGAUCAAACACUGAUUUUAGAAUGUUAGGUUUCUAAAUAAAAAGAAAAUUUAAUUUGAGAUGAUAAUAUUAUUACUAAUGCAAUAAAAAAGAUAUGCUAAAAGUCAAAAUGUUGCAUAAAAUAUAAAGAAUAUAAUUCAACUGUGGUCUUACUUUCAUAUUAAUUUAUUCAGAGUUGAAAUGAUAGAAUAUGAAUUUCUAAAUUAUUUAAAAAUCUAUGUUAAAUAAGGACCAAAAAGUUAUCUAAAUAUGUUUUAAAUAAAAUAUUAGAAAAAUAUAAUAGAAUAACAAUGAAUAUCGCACAGUCUAUCGGCUGGUGAUUACAGUAGUUUCUUGUUCUUUUGUUGUUUGUGGUACGAUGGUCAGUAGCUCAGUGCAAUUGGCAUCACAGGCUCAUGAAACGCAUUCUUUAGUCUCCACCAAAUUUCAUAGUCCAUGCCAAAUUUCCCAUCGACUCAAUGCAGUCACCCAUGGCCCAUGUAUUUACCAUCUGAGUGAAAAUUGUCUUCGAACUUAUCUCUUCACUCACUCGGUCAUUCUCAUCUUUCCUUUCUCUUAUAUCAUACGGCUGUAACACAACAAAAAUUUGGCGAAAGUUUCACAACUAUCAUUGAACUGAGAAGAAAGAUGUCUUUGUAGCAGCAAUUACAAACAGAAACAGUAAAAGUGAAAUAUAAAAUGUGAAAUCAAACAUAAUGACAAAACAAACUCCAUCAUAUCAUGAUUCACCUUGUGCUAAGAGGUCUAACCUCAUCAAACAUUAGCAAUGUCCCUUAAUAAGAGGGUUUAUUCAACUAGAAAGAGUUAGCACACAAUACUACCAGUGUAUUAUCCACGUGUCACAGAUCACACCACCGGAAGUUCAUCAAUAUUAUUCAUAUAUGACGGAUCCUUAGAUAUGAUCAUAUAACUAUAGGAUCAAGUAUAAAGUUGAUUUCAUCCUUCAAUUGUUGCUCGGGAUGAGUAUAUCCGUCCCCGGCCUUGUAAGUAACAUAACACACUCUCAUUAAAUUCAGAAACACGGUGAUAAAUUGCAUCGGAACUGGCGUUGGCCUUAGGCAUGCCUCACUCAUCUCCUUCCAUGUAUUGUCAAUCAUUUCAUCUAACUCGGCCACAGCUCUUUCCUUAGAAACCCCAUGCUCCUUUAUGUAGCAAUCAAUAGAUGUAGCGACAUGUGCUCUGUUAUGUUCCUCAUACAAAUACAUAUAUGAACAUAGAUGAAAAACUCUAAAGCAAUUGUCAAAUUAGUUAAUGGUGUUGAUCACUCUUUUUGUAUGGUAUGAUGAUGGCAUACCUCAAAGCCUGCUAUAUCAUUAAUGAUGCACCCAUUUGCUUCAGCUACAAGAAUUACUUUUGGUUUUGUUAGUGCCCACUCGCAGGCUUUAACGGUAUCAACAUGCCCCAUCCCCAGAAUACUUGCUACUCCCAGAAUCCAUACGCCUGAUGAAGUUAAUGCGUUGGGGAAGUAUUCCUUAAAUGUUGGCACAUAGUUUAUCUCACGCCACUUGGCCUCUAUAUGAUAACAUAUUAAGUUUGCCUUGAACUGAUAUAGUUGAUUCAAAGAAACAAAAAAGAAAGAGUUUUGUCAUCAUAUUAGUACAAUGCUGUACAAUUGUGGUAAAUUGCAUUGUGCGCUAUCAAAAUAGUAGGUAAACUAAAACCAUUUUCUGAAGCCGAGAUGGUUAUAUUAUAAUAACAGCAUAAAAUCAACUGGUAAAAAGAGUUGGAUUGUUAGUCAUACCACUUCUUUAAGAUAAGAAACAUCAUAAUAUCUUCCCAUCUUUAUAAUUUCAUCAUCAAAUUCACGCAAGACAUUUAGGCAAGUGAUGUAGCACUCUUUUGAAUGACCUUGAAGGCCUUCUACACUUUCGAAAUCAAACCUGGAAAAAGAUCAUACAUAAAUUUCAAAUAAUUCAAUUCUGCAGAGUUUUAAUGAGCUGUAGCUUUCAUGUGAUUCAUUUCAUAACAAAUAAAACACUACAUCAAUUAAGGGGUGUGUGAUUGAGCACAUGCUUUACCGCUCGAUUGCUUUCGUGUACAGAUCCAGUUCAUCCAUUGUGCCAUAUGCAUUAUAGAGGUCAUCAGCUAUUGAUAGGGCGCAAAGUACUUUGGUGAACAUGAUUCGUCCUACAGCAUAGCAGGGUUCAUACAAUAUUGAGACAUCCAGGAAAUAACCUUCAACUACUCUACUCCUGAACUGAGGUAGUUUUGAGUCGAAGUCCAAAUCAGCCCACCACCUGGAAUUUGCGAAACAAAAAUUAAAAUGUAUUUAAUUUGAGUAAACUAAGAUGGAUUUCUGAUUAUGGAAAAAAUGGGUGGAACUGGAGGAUUAUGAUUUUUUUCAUGAUUUUAUGGAAUAUACUUAACGUAAUGGACUAAUUGGAGGAUUAACUAAUCCUAUAAAUCUGAUCAGUUGUAUCAGAUGUGAGAUGACUAUAUAUAGCUUCUAAGUUAUCAAUUUAAAUUUUCUAUAUAUAACAUAUUCCCAAAACACGUUAAUAGAUAAUAUUGCACAUCUAAAAGAUCUUGCAGGUGAUUUACCUUUUGACUUGGGACAAUUCCUGCUUGUAUAACAUUUGCACUAGAUUGAAAUCUAGCUUCGCGAACUUGAGUAGCAAGUCAUUUCGAGAUGGAUCCUCCUCAUAGAAAGAGAUGAAAUGUUUGGCCUCGAUUCUUGGAAGGCCCUUGUGGAGGGGCUGCUCUAAGGCAUGCAUGAUUUGCCUACUUAGUAAUCCCGACUCCAAGUUACUACUUUUAGCCAUUGCAUUGAGGUGAGAAGUUGUGAAAGCAAGGGCUUCAUCUAAGAUGGCUUCUUCAGUUAUUCUUAAUUGUGCUGCUUCAAACAAGCUCAGUGUACUCAUCUGGUCUUUGCUAAUAGCUUCAUCAAAUUUCCCCUCAAUUUUGAAUUUGCUAAAUAUAUCUAACAAAUGGAAUUUGUAAAUUUCAUAAGCUCUUGUGAUUAGUAUAAUGAAAACGAAACAUGGACUUCAAAAUUUAAAGGGCACAUGAUUUUAAUUAUCAACAAAACUCUGAUCACAAAUUAAACUAUGCACAGACUGACAGACUACAAGUACUCAAGUAGAAAAAACAGGUAACAAACUUAUAAUACAGAAGUUCCCCUAAUUAGAAAAUUUAAAUCAAAGCUUACAAAUAAAUAAACACCUCGACCAGAAGUAGCAAACACAUGCAAAGUUGCAAACAAUACUAAUAUAUAUUUUACGUGCUAUGUAUACACUUACCAGAAGUGAUGUUAUAGCCAUGUUGUCUGAAAAUCCUAAAGCAAGUAGAUGUAGUGAAAAGAUCAUGAUGUUGGUCAGUUUCGAAGCAGUUCUUACACAAAUCCACCAGCCUUUCUUCAAUAUAUUCCUGAAAAUUGUACGCAACACCUAAGCGUUCAAUGGUGUUAAUUAAUAUAAGUUCUUCUGUCAUUUUGCCGCUUGCUGCAAACACAAGCAUGUUCUUUACUUCACUUUUCAGCGCAUCACGUUCUUUGGAAUACGCCUCCAAUUUUAAAACAGCCAUGAACCGUGUAAAUAGCAAACAAUCAUAAUAUUAUAUGUGGAUGACAAAGAAAUUAUGGUCACUUAUCAUUAAAUAACAGAAUUACUUAUCAUUGCAUAACAGAAUUCUAGAAGAAGAGAUUGAUAACAGAAGUCAAUGUGACAAAAUAACUUCCAGAUGAAAGGUAAGGAGCAUAUACCCUCAAAUAGGAACUGAAAGUUUUUUGGCAGUGUCAGCAACGAUCACGUCCAAGACAAAUAGAGCAUAAAGAGAUUAACAUGAUAGAAUUAGAAAAUGUAUUAAAUGGAUCAAACAACCCAAAAAACAAAAAAAUUAGUUUAGGCAUUCUAACAAACAUUUUAUGGCGUCUCAAUUAUACUAAUCAUACAUCAGAAAUCAAACAUGACAAAGUAUAAAUUUUUUUAAAAUGAAUUGAAUCCAGAACAAAAUCCGUAGAUGCGUACCAUUAAUUCUCGCAUAUGAUGUAUGUGUCAACGGAAAGUGUGACUGCUUGUGUAUGUAUAUUUUUCCUUGUAAUUAGUAGGAAGAUUUUAUGACUUCCUUUGGAUAUAGUAUUAUAAAAAUUAUAUAUAACACAUCUAGUAGUUUAAUUGGAUUUGCUGUUCUGUAACUUCUCUCUCAUAUUUGGUGAUUGAAUAACGACUUGAUGCUUAUCUAUGGUCAGUAAUUUUGGCUUAUAUCUCUCUACUUUAUAAAUCCUACUGCCUUUUUUGCUAUAAAAUGUCCACUUUGUCCCUCUACAUUUCUAUUAAUUUCAUUAUACGGCCACUGGGACUUUACACAUAGCCGCGUGUCUCUUUCUCGACCACAUACUCCUCACCAACGCUCUCUUCAUCUCAUUCUGAUUUCAAAUUUCAAACCAGCAUUCAAACUUCAAAUCUGAGCUCACUUCACUUUACUUUCAAAUCAGGUUACUGUCGUGCUACUCGGCGCUUAACUCUGCCUUUUGACAUCGUCUUUUGACAGAGCAAGUGAUGGAUUAAUUCAUCCAUUCUCUUCUCUUUUCUCUUUUCCGAAUUGAUGAAGAACACGCUUUGACUGUAAGUUUAUAUUUUGCUGCGAAACUGUUUGAUGAAAUGUCUGAAAGAAAAGGUUAAUAACUUCGCACUUUGUAAUUAUAUUUCUUACUUAAAUUAUUGUUAAUGGCUUGAUUUUGGGAUGUAUGUACAAGUUUCUUUUUGUAUUUAUUGUUUGAAUCUAACUUAUGAUGUCAUAUAUUUGAUGUAGACGAAAAAAAAGAUGCGGUGUAUGGCCAAGUUGUUACUGUCUCUGACUUUGCCUGGGAAGUAUUUGACGAAAUGUCCAGGAGCAAUUGAUAAUUCGGUCGAUUUUUAGGUAUUUUUUGACUGUGUUUUAAAUAAUUUUUUCUACAAUGAUUAAUACUUAUUUUUAGGUAUUUGUCAAUUUUUAGGUAUUUUUUGAUUUUGUUAAUUGUUAGGUAUUUUUUGACCGUGUUUUGCGAUUUUUUGAUGAGAGUAAGGAGUAAAAUUGUAAUUUUAAGUUUUGCUCGGAUAUCUUUUGUCAUUUGCAGUACCUGACACGUGAUAUGCUGUUUUGUGUUUUUGAUGUAGUUUUGAUAGACGAGCAGUUUUGAUCUCAUUAUGUGUUUUAAGUUACUGACUUGCACAAGGAUUAUAAUUCUGAUGAUAGGAUGUCUGAGGUAUGUCAUAAAAUAGUGGAGGCCUUUGAAGGCUGUGCAAUUUUCCAGGCGGUUGAUCACCGUAUUGACAGCAAUUGAUUUCUGAAAUGUAUAGUCUUUUCCAUGAAUUCUUUGCUUUGCCAGUUGAGGAAAAGCUCAAGUAUGAUACAAUCGGUGGUGAGAGAGGUAGCUUUACUGUGUCCACUCAUCUUAAGGUACAUUUAAGAUUAACCACACAAUUAAUGUAAUGUAUGAUAGGCUUUGAUUUGUACACACGUGAUGUAUAUUGUUAGAACCAUUUAGAUAUUACACGUUAAGGUUCUUAAUUUAAAUCAUGUUCUUAGGUUCAUAAUGCUUCUGAGAUCUUAUUUUAGUGUUCUUUUUUUCCUUAUAGCAUUUGGCUUUUAUUGUUUUUUCUAGCUUUAUUCAGUUUUAUGAUUUAGAGGUUUGGAUAGAAUUUAAAAACCAGAAUUUGUCUUUGGAUAGGCAGAGAACAAGAUAAGUACGCGAUUAGAUCAAACUGGACUAUUGUGCUACCAAGACAGUCAAAUAUAUUGUUGCUAUCUUAUUCUGAAACUGCUGCCCUAUGGUUUAGAGGUUUGUAUAAAAGAAACUAAUAACAGAAUGUGAUAAUUAGAAAAGUGUAAUGUGGACAUUAUGUAUGAGCAUUUGAGAAAGGCAAAUAAUUAUGGUGUUGACCCUUUUUGACACAUUAUUAUAAAUUGAUCCUUUUUAACACAUCAGAACGCAGGUAGAAUUGUAACAAGCAUACUUGCACCCAGCAAUGAAACUAACUUGACUACUAUUUAAAUUCCGAUAAUAUGGUAACUUAGACCUCUUUAAUCUCUAAUGUUCAUUCCACCAUUAGCUAUGUGAGACAGGGAUCAAAUUGUGACCCGAUUUCAUUUAUCUAUCAAAUUUUGGGUUUUACCCUUUGUAUAGUGUGUGCAGCGUGUAGAGACUAUUUCAGGAUAUCGAUAAUCUUUUCUGAGAUUUUCUACAAGUAUGAAAUCUGGACAAUUCUAUAUACAUGUGUGUUACAUUCGUUAACUCAUGACUGUUGUGUCAAUUAUCAUUGUACAAGAGAAAGAUGGUGGUUGGUGAUAGCAGUGGCCAGGGGAUUGUCAGAACAAUGCGUUACGGAUGUAAUAUAAACAAUUUUCUUCCUGAAGAAUCAUUUAAAAGCUGGGGAAAUUAUGGCAGGGUGUUAGGAAACACAAAAUCGUGGCUUACUGAUCGUCUCUUGACGCAAUCCAGUGAUGAAUCUGAGUUACACAAAAUGCGUGCUAGGUGCCAGAAUGAGAUGACGAAGUUGUUAAACUGGUUUGAUAUGAUGUGGUUUGGUUCUGUUUUGGGAGCUGGAGUUUUUUUCCUCACUGGACAAGCUGCUAGGGAUUAUGUUGGGCCUGCUGUCAUAAUAUCAUACCUCAUUUCAGGUUUGUCUGCUCUGCUUUCUGUCCUUUGUUAUACUGAAUUUUCUGUGGACCUUCCUGUUGCUGGAGGCUCAUUUUUAUUUUUAUUUUUUUGUGGUAAAUCUGGAGGCUCAUUUGUGUAUCUAAGAGUAGAGCUUGGUCAAAAGUCUAAUAUGAUUCAAAGGUCUAAUUUCUUUUUAUCAAACCUUUAACUUUUAAAUAUGACCAAUAUAUGAUGACCAUGUUUAGAGAAAAUAUAAUAACUAUAAAAAACUUAUAUCACUUUAUAAUUUAUAAUUACUAGUGGAUAUAAUUACUAGUGGAUAGUCGGACGUGGUUACAUAGUUUCACUAAUAACAAACCUCUUUUUCUAUUAAUUAACUAAAUAUAUAUAUAUAUAUAUAUAUAUAUAUAUAUAUAUAUAUUUAUACAUCACACAUUAAUAAUAUAUGGAAAAUCUAAUAGAAUUUAUAGCCACUAUAUUUAUUUAAGUAAAAGAAAAUUUUAGAAUAAUAAUAUAUAUCGUGACUAAUUUUGAAUAAUUAAGUAUCAAUCUUAUUAUAUAUUUUCAGUAUAUGAUAGUUUUUUUGUGAAUAAAAUUAAAAAAUAAUUCUGUCAUUUCUUCCUUAUGUGAUUAUAAAUAUCUUAAUAUGUGUUUUUUUAUCAUAUUUUUCGUCGGCCCCUUUUCAUCUUCUUUCAUUCCUCUUUCUCCUUCUCUAAUACUCCGCCCUUCCUCUCUCCAUCUUUACCAAAUUACCUUCAAUAUAUCAAAUAUAGCCUCAAUACCACAGUCACUAACAAAAAAAAAUGAUCUAGAAAUGAUAAGUUGUAUUGUUCAUAAUCAUUAUCCGAUCUACGGUGUUGUGAUUCAUUUACUCAUUGAUCUUUCGUGCUAUCGGAGUAAAGGGCGUGGUACACAUGAUAUCUUGGUUGAUUUGGUAAGUCGAUCUGGUAAGUCGUUUUUUGAAUAAAUUUGUUACAUCGAUUGUAUGAAUCGAAUGAUAAAAGUUUUCAUCUGAAUGAAUUUUAAACAAAAAUUUUGAAUUUAUCUUUUUUGAAACUCAAAAAUUAAUAAUUUAAUAUUUUUGUGAGUAUCGGAUCAAAAGUUCAAUUCGAUCAUAUACAUAAUUAUAUCUUGUUUUGGUUAGUCUGUGUUAUGAAUUUUUUGAUUCAAAUCAAUAAAGUUAAAUCGGGUUCAGAUUUAAUUUUUUUUUUAAUUUAUAUCAAGAUCCGAUUCCGAUUUUAUCUCGAUUAAAUUAAAAUUUUAUGUUAAGCAAACUUUUCAAUAAUUUUAGAUGAGUUUUUGUCAUAUGUCUUUGACAAUUCUUGAGAUCUUCAACUUAAUAUAUAUCAAAAUUUAUUUCAAUUUUUAUUAUCAUGUUUCUUUCUCAAUUUAUUUGUUUCAAAAUUGUAUAUGCAGUAAACAAUGAAGAGAGUGCUUCAGAAAAGAUUGAAUGUCAUCCAAUUUCACUUGUGGAGGAUGUGAUGACUUCAAAUUUCACUGACCUUAAUGAACAACCUUUAGGUCUUCAGGAUCAAGUAGUCAUUGCUCUGAGAAGGUUGAGUUCAGGUGAAUCAUUACUAACUGUUCUUUAUUCCUUCCAAAUACACAAAGCAACUGUUGGUAACAUAACUUGGAGGUUCGUUGAAGCUAUGGAACAAAAUGGAAUACACCAUAUCCAGUGGCCUUCAACCGGAACUAAGAUGGUAAUCCGCAAUAUCCGGUGAAUGAACUUCAAUUUGAGCAUUUCUUUACACAUUUUUGGAAUUGUUAUAUGAUUAAUUUUUUGAUGAACACGUUUCAGGAAGUUCGGUUUUAUGUCUGCAGAGUUCGUUUUCAGUUCCUUGGAUUUAUGAUAUAUGCUUGCAUAUUUAGAAUUAGGAGAUCAUGUUUGGUCAUUGUUUCGGUUUCAAUACAAAUUUCUAAUUGUUCUGAGCUAGUUACUUGUUUAGAAUUCGUGAUUGAUUUGGUAGGAUUUUCUUAAUUACUUGCUAAUAGAAGUUUGUAGUUGUAAUUUAUGAGUUAUUUGGACAUUGGAGUAUAAUUCCAGCAAUUCUGAAGUUAUGUUCAUGAUAAAUGAGAUUUAAAUUUUUUAUGCUUUGGGAGGGAUAUAACAUUGCUUUGUCUAUAGAAAAAAAAUGUCAAGUUCAUGUAUGAAGCUUGUUAAUUCAGUAUUAGCCUACACUUAAUAAGGGAACAAGUGCGGUUAGGUAGUGCUUCUUUUUUUCUCCUGGAUGUUUCUUUCAUUAUUUUGCACAGUUAGUCAUAUACCUUCAUCAACAGUUGCAUUUUUUUUCUUCAUUGUUUAGCUCACUUGUUUCUCCAUAUCAUCAUUGGUGCUCUACGUACAAAAGAAUGUUGCUCUGAUCAUGAUUAUAUUUGUAGUCACACUGAUGAAUUUUCUUGGUGAAAAGGUCAUGUAGUUGUUCGACUGAUGAUUACAAUUGCAUCCUUUUUUAUAAUUAUAAUAUUCUAAUAAACAUAAAUUUUGGGCAAACAAAAAAUAAUGUUUUCAUAUGUUAUGUAGAUGUUUCGUCGUUGCUUAGAAGUUCUGGCAUAUGAAAUCAGCAGCAAAAUUCUUUGCAUCUUCAUGUGCACAUUGACUUUUGGCAUUUAGUCCCGUGAAUAGUUAAUUGCUGUGAAUAUUCUUCAAAGUCUUCAUGUAACUUGGAUAAUAUGGACACCUUAAAGUAUAACUUUUUAAUGGUGAUAAUUUAUAUGUUUCAGAGACCUUGCGGCCAUAGUUUUUGUUUGAACUGUUUCCAGAGAUGGGUUGGGCAAGGGAAUUAUACUUGUGCAAAGUGUCGAUGCAGCAUACCUCCUAAGAUGGCAAGUCAACCACGCAUCAAGUCUUUACUUGUAUUCAUCAUCCGAAUGGCCAAGAUGUCCAUAUGAAGAUCUAGGUAUGGACCACUGAAAUAUCAUCAGUACGUGCAUAACCAAGACCGACCUGAUAAAGCAUAUACAACGGAGUGGGCAAAGAAGAGCGGAAUGGCUAAUGCUGCCAGUGGACGGAUACAUGUCACUACUCCACCUGACCAUUUUGGACCUAUUCUUCCAGAGAAUGAUCCAGAGAAAAAAAAGGGUGUUUUGGUUGAAGAGUGAUGGGAUCUUCGCAUGGAGUGUAGGCAAUGGGCAUUCAUUAUCCACAUGUAUAAGGAAUUGCUGAUCAAUCCAAAUUAUGGUGCACAAUCCGUUGUUAUUUCUGGGGGUUACAAGGAUGAUGAGGAUCAUGGAGAAUGGUUCUUACAUCAGAAGGUUUGUUAGAAUAUAGAAACACAUGUUGUCAAUUGUAUAUAUAAAUCCAACAUUUUACCACUUAUAAUUAUUAAUUUGUGAAAGUGCAUAUGGCUACUAAAUAUGCUUCUUUCAUAUUCUUGGGUAGUUGUAAUAUUAUGAGCAUAAUAUCCUACUAUUUCUCGAAAGGUUUUACACUUUAUAAAAACAUAGACAAAGUACUUUGAAAUACAUGAUUGUUUCUUUCAAUUUAUUGUACAAUAAAAUUGAUAGCUUAAAUUUCAAUAGAUGUUAUCUUUAAAAAUAUACCCCAAACAGUGUCUAAUAAAUUGAUCUACUUUAUUAAAGAUUUUUAAAUGAUUUCAAAUUUAGUCAGUUUUUAAAAUUAUCUUAUCAUAUCCCAUGAUUGCGUAGUGAACCCCAUAAAUAUAACUCAAAGAAUAGCCAUAUCAAUCAAUGGCACACCAUCCACAUCUUUUUCAGUAAAUCCCCUUGAUUCACAAGCUCGGCUGCCAGCAAUUUUCACCGCCCCCACUCUAAACUUCAUGUAUGCGUCCUUCUAUGCCCAUUACUAUCCUCUUGUUUUGAACUUGCGAUUUCUUUUUUCCCUACUUGUUCUUCCUUUACCAAACUUAUUGUACCACUGUGGGCGAUGUCGUAUAUUAAAAGAAACGAGAAAGUUAAUCAUUUAGAUGAACAAUAGGUUUUUUCUGAAAAACAAGAAAAAGUUACUUUUCAAGAAGCCGUUAUUGAUUUCAUUAUCAAAUCUCAUCAAAAAUAUUAUUUUUUUAUAUUAUAACUGUAUAUAUAAAAAUUAAAAAGAUUACCAAACAAUAAUCGGAUUUGUGCAACAACAUUUUUUUUACCAUCACUUUUUCUGACAGCACGAUAAUUUUUAACAACAUUCUCGCACAGACCUUUAGUUGUAAAUAUAUUUUAUUACGAAAUAAUGAAGGUGUAUUUAAUUGAAUUUAGUUGAAAGGUAUUUUCACAACUAUUUCGAAAAAAUGAUAAAAUUAUAAAAAAAAUCUUUAAAAAGUGAUAUUUAAAAAUAUAUAUAUUUUUCCUUUUUUACGUAGAUAUAAAUCAAUAGGAUUAAUAUUUCUAUGUAUAUAAAAUAAUAUAAUUCAGUAAUACUUUUAAAUAUAUUCGUAACAUAAAUUUUAAUUAAAUAUUACAUAUUUACAUGAAUAAUAUAAAAUAUUUAUUCAUCUGUUUAUUAAUUUUGAUAAAAAGAGAUUAUUUCUCUAUAACUAAAAAUCUCCAGAUUUUCACAUAAAAGAUGGAAUAUCUAUACUAUACUAUAAUAAGCCAACAUGGGUAUAAUUUGUAGUCCAAGGUUUUAGUUAUAUUUUUUGGUUUGGUACUCUCCUUUUGGUACUACAAGUCUAGAUAUGUGGAGUCUAUUAGUAUUAUAUUAUUAAACAGUUUCAAAUACUAAAAACACUCAUAACAAUCCAUUAUCAUAUAAUAUUUCAUUAAAAAAUUAUAAUAAUGUUAUACAUAAAAUUAUAAAUCUACAAUUUUAAAUAUCUUCUUUUAUAUUUUUUGGUUUGGUACUCUCCUUUUGGUACUACAAGUCUACAAAUGUAGAGUCUAUUAUUUUUUUGGUGGUGCUCUCCUUUUGGUACUACAAGUCUACAAAUAUGGAGUCUAUUAAUAUUAUAUUGUUAAACAGUUUCAAAUACUAAAAACACUCAUAACAAUCCAUUAUCAUAUAAUAUUUCACUAAAAAAAUUAUAAUGAUGUUAUAAAUAAAAUUAUAAAUAUACAAUUUUGAAGAUCUUUCUUUUAACAAGAACCUUCAUAUAACUAUUUUUAACUUUAACGUGUUCUAUCUCAAUAUAAACAAGAACCAUUACAUAAUAUUUUCCAACUCUAAUCUUAAAAGUUAUUGUUGUAAAAAAAACCAAGAUCACAAAAUUACGUUAAAAUUCGAUUGAUUUACUGAAUCUACACGAUCGGCUAGGUUUGGAAAAGAUUUGAAUUUUGUGAUUUUUUUUAUUUUUAAAUCUACGUGUACUAUAUUCGAAUUAAAUGUACUAAAAUCAGAAAAUAAAAAAUAUAUAUAUUAUGGUUUGUCGAUUUUCAAGUAAUCAGGGGAAAAUAUAGCCAAUUGAAUGAUAUAUUUUAAUUAAAUUUCAAUCCAUUAAUACUAAAAUAUUAAUAAAAUAAUGUUAAAAUUUAAAUUAUAAAUAAUAAAUUACGAACUAUAUACCCGUCCGUGCUUUGCAAGGCCAGUAUUUUUGAACAAGGUAAUGUAAAGAAGCGCAGUUGCAUAACUCUGAUUGAGUUCUCAACGACACGUUUUACUUCCCUGCUGCCAGAACGGUGAGUCGCGAUCAACCGCCCUCAAACCACCGUAGCACCACCACCUCGAUUCCCCAUGUAAGAUAUACAAUUGAAUUAAUUGGUUGAAGCUUUUUCAUUUUAUUAUCUUUAUGUAUUAUCCUCAAGUGUAGUUUUUAUAGUACGUACAGUCUUAUUAGCUCACCCUUGAUUAAUUAAAUCAUAAACAUACGCAUAGUAUAGGGCAUUAACCUAAAAUUGGAAACUAAUUUUGUUGUGAUUAGAAAUGUUUAGUUUAAAGUGGUAGAUAAAAUGUUGAUUAGCUUGCUAGUGGUUCUCUUCCAAUGUUGUAUUCCACUUGUUCUCGAAUUUUUUUCGAGUUGUUCAGUUGUUCAUCAUACUCAUUGUUUAGUUUUAAUUUGUUACAUGAUAUUAGAAUGUGGUAUAUACACAAAUAGCAUGAUUAUGUUGUGCUGGACCAAUUUGCAAGAAUUGGAAUAGGGCUUUCGAUCAGUGUUUGAUUGUUUUUCCUGUCAACGGAAAGUGCGACUGCUUGUGUAUGUAUAUUUUUCCUUGUAAUUAGCAUAUGAAGAUUUUAUGACUUCUUUUGGAUAUAGUAUUAUAAAAAUUAUAUAUAACGCAGCUAGUAGUUAUAUUGGAUUUGCUGUUCUGUAACUUCUCUCUAAUAUUUGGUGAUUGAAUAACGACUUGAUGCUUAUCUAUGGUCAGUAAUUUUGGCUUAUAUACAUAUUAAGUUAUUAACUAACAUCUUCUCUGUGUUUUUUUUCACUUUUUCACCUCUUGCAAUUCGGAUAAAUGUUUGUCAUUAGCGGCUCAUCUUAGUUUUAUAUGAAAUUUACCAAUAUUGAGAGAGUGUGUUUUUUGCAUUUUUUCUCCUUUACCUCGCUGCAGCUAAAUAUAUAAUCUGCUGAGAAAUCUUAAUCCUCUUCCAAAGAAGGCCUCUUCAUUGACUAAUGCAGUGAAAGGUACUUUAGUUGCUUCGGCUAGAUAGCCGUAGUUGCUUGGAUUCAGCAGAAAAUAUAUAGAGCUUAGCUUGGGUUAGCAAAUUUAAACACAUGAUUUGUAUGGAAAUCCACAAACAUACGUAAGCAGAAUGGAAGUAUAGAUCCAGGACUCACCUUGUAAAUAAACUCACCCUUUGAUUUCCUGUCGCCGCAGCACUCAAAAUUUUAAAUGCUUCGGCAGACAAGCAUUUGGCUGGAAGGAGAACUUACUAGUACUGAGCAUAUCUGAAGAAAAUUGUCAAUUGAAAUGUGAAAGAAAGUUAAGGGAUUACUUCACAAAUUACAAGACAAGUGAGGAGGAAGAGAAGAUUUCAUAUCUGAAGGAGAUUGUUAAUUUAUGAGGCUUCUGGACUUCUGGUCACAGGAGGUCAAAUAUAACUAAAUUUGUAAUUUAGGGAGGUGAGUUUGUACAAGUAUUCGCUGGUAACCUACUGGUGUUAUGGUGUAGGUAAAGAGGAAUAAUUGACUAGAUCAAUCAGGGACUAAGAAGAGAUUUCAGUUGGGUAAGAAAAUUGUUGAUCAGAGAGGCUUGAUGGUCAGAGGAGGUUACAGUCAUUAUAUUUAUGGAUUAUUGAAUGUGACUACAUGUGCUAGGAACAAUAUGAUNUGUUCUCGAAUUUUUUUCGAGUUGUUCAGUUGUUCAUCAUACUCAUUGUUUAGUUUUAAUUUGUUACAUGAUAUUAGAAUGUGGUAUAUACACAAAUAGCAUGAUUAUGUUGUGCUGGACCAAUUUGCAAGAAUUGGAAUAGGGCUUUCGAUCAGUGUUUGAUUGUUUUUCCUGUCAACGGAAAGUGCGACUGCUUGUGUAUGUAUAUUUUUCCUUGUAAUUAGCAUAUGAAGAUUUUAUGACUUCUUUUGGAUAUAGUAUUAUAAAAAUUAUAUAUAACGCAGCUAGUAGUUAUAUUGGAUUUGCUGUUCUGUAACUUCUCUCUAAUAUUUGGUGAUUGAAUAACGACUUGAUGCUUAUCUAUGGUCAGUAAUUUUGGCUUAUAUACAUAUUAAGUUAUUAACUAACAUCUUCUCUGUGUUUUUUUUCACUUUUUCACCUCUUGCAAUUCGGAUAAAUGUUUGUCAUUAGCGGCUCAUCUUAGUUUUAUAUGAAAUUUACCAAUAUUGAGAGAGUGUGUUUUUUGCAUUUUUUCUCCUUUACCUCGCUGCAGCUAAAUAUAUAAUCUGCUGAGAAAUCUUAAUCCUCUUCCAAAGAAGGCCUCUUCAUUGACUAAUGCAGUGAAAGGUACUUUAGUUGCUUCGGCUAGAUAGCCGUAGUUGCUUGGAUUCAGCAGAAAAUAUAUAGAGCUUAGCUUGGGUUAGCAAAUUUAAACACAUGAUUUGUAUGGAAAUCCACAAACAUACGUAAGCAGAAUGGAAGUAUAGAUCCAGGACUCACCUUGUAAAUAAACUCACCCUUUGAUUUCCUGUCGCCGCAGCACUCAAAAUUUUAAAUGCUUCGGCAGACAAGCAUUUGGCUGGAAGGAGAACUUACUAGUACUGAGCAUAUCUGAAGAAAAUUGUCAAUUGAAAUGUGAAAGAAAGUUAAGGGAUUACUUCACAAAUUACAAGACAAGUGAGGAGGAAGAGAAGAUUUCAUAUCUGAAGGAGAUUGUUAAUUUAUGAGGCUUCUGGACUUCUGGUCACAGGAGGUCAAAUAUAACUAAAUUUGUAAUUUAGGGAGGUGAGUUUGUACAAGUAUUCGCUGGUAACCUACUGGUGUUAUGGUGUAGGUAAAGAGGAAUAAUUGACUAGAUCAAUCAGGGACUAAGAAGAGAUUUCAGUUGGGUAAGAAAAUUGUUGAUCAGAGAGGCUUGAUGGUCAGAGGAGGUUACAGUCAUUAUAUUUAUGGAUUAUUGAAUGUGACUACAUGUGCUAGGAACAAUAUGAUAGAGAGUUGAAAACAAUUCAUGAAGCAUAUAUCAGUAAUAUAUAAUAUUUAAAAUGAAAGGGUUGAUAUGGUUGACGUAUUUCUUUUAACCCCUCAAGCUGAUGUCACUAAACAAGGUCCGAUUCUUUGUAGCUUAAUUAGAAACCAUUAAGACAGUUGAUUAAAUGACAAGUAGUUGAAAUUGGGCGGUUCAAACAGGUUCAGCUGGUCCUUUUGCCUUGAUGUUCUUUGGUACAUACCAAACAACAAGAAAACCGAAGUACUAAAUGUGACUACAUAUUUUGUAAGAGCGUACUGUUUAAUUUUCUUGGCUCGGUAUAUGGCAUACUUCUAGCUGGCAAAUCUGUUCAUUUUCAUAAGUUUUAAGCGUGCCUCAAGUUUGCAAUAUAAUAGGUACGCUUUCAAGCUGGUUCUUCCCCUAAUUCUAGUGGAAAUUGAAAUUCAUUCAUAUAUCUUUACAAAUUUGGGAUUGAACUUCCUUAAAAAAAAAGGAUUGAACGUUAAAUAUUUUUAACUUCGGGGCAUGCUUAAUUUAUAUUUAUAUUAAAAGCUGUAUUUUAAUUGAUUUAUGCAGAGUUCAGUUGCUUACUAUGUAAAAGCGUGGUGACUCUCCCUGUCACAACACCUUGUGCACACAACUUUUGCAAGUCCUGUCUAGAAGAAAUAUUUGCUGGGCAGACUUUCACCAAGGAGAGGAGUAGGGGCGGGCGUACUCUGCGAUCACAGAAGAAUGUUAUGAAGUGCCCUGCAUGCCUCAUGACAUAUCUAACUUUCUUCAGAAU
rnacentral:lncRNA from 1 species